AUUUACAAAAACCACCCUGACAAAAGAGUAGAAAAAGCAAUCUGUGUCCAGGGGGCCUCUGCCAACCACCGCCGGCGAACUCCAGGCGUCUCCGCCGAGUUCGGAGCGCGAAGUGCUCGAACGCUCUUGAAUGAGAUACGGAUUGGAUCAGAUCAACCAGCGGAUGAGCUUGGCCACACGCCGGCGACCCGCUUGCGCUUGGGUCCUGCGUCGCCGCGCCGUCCCCAAUCCCCAUGGCUCAGCUGCCUCGGCGUGGUCCAAGCCCUGCGUCCCUCCCAUCAAGUUGGACCCCUCCGCCGCACCCGCACGCGCCACCCCUCCCUCUGUUCGUUCAUCUCGCCUCUCCAUCCUUUUUCACAGCAACAGAACAGAGAGGUCCUGCUUGACUGCAACGGAAGCAGCCACCAGCCAGCAGAGGGACGUCUCCCAGUACUCCGCAGCCACCCCGCCUCCAUCUCCGGCAUCCACCCAAGGUAGUCGAUCAACAAGGGGAGGAGGCUAGUGUGCCCGCCAAACAAGCGUCGAUCAUGGCAGCGCCGUCCGCGCCCCUCCAUCCUCCUCCCCAAGGUCGCUGGUCUCUGCAUCUCCCAUGGGCCAUGGCCAUACUCUUCAGUUUUUAUUCGGCAUCGUUUCAUGUGUGUUACGGCAGGCACCGUGUAAUGUAAUUGGAUUGGGAUCCGUUCGUUUGUGUAGAGACGUCGCUUGCUUCUAUUUGAUGCAUCUUGUUGACGGAAUUGGCACUCACUGCCUUUCGUUCUGCAAGUCUUUAUUCUUUCGUUUAGCAAUUGCAUACCUCUGUAUUUUCAUUUAGCAAGAAAAGAGUUUGCCUGGCCGGAGUGGCGAGGCUGAUGCCGAGCUGUGCAUCGGUGCUUCAGGGGCUUAAUGACUAUUAGCAUCAGUCUCUUGUGAAGAAA